rnacentral:misc_RNA from 1 species
GAGAAGCCCUUCCCAGCUUACUUCGCCUCACCUUCGCCUUCUUCUUCUGUACCAACUUCUUUUCCAAAUCCUUCACCCUUCCACUAAGAUCUGAUAUCACCCCUAUCUGCUGUUUUCCAGCCUCGAUAAGAUUUUCCAACAUCACCCGCAGUUUCUCAUUUUCUUCAACCAGCUUCUUUUCUUCAGAUUUCAACACCACAGCAGAAGCAGGAGCUUUGUCUUCAGGUUGAGCAGCAGCAUCCUCUGUCAAAAU